rnacentral:rRNA from 1 species
UGGGGAAUAUUGCACAAUGGAGGGAACUCUGAUGCAGCGACGCCGCGUGAACGAAGAAGGCUUUCGAGUCGUAAAGUUCUUUUAUAUGGGAAGAUAAUGACGGUACCAUAAGAAAAAGCCCCGGCUAACUACGUGCCAGCAGCCGCGGUAAUACGUAGGGGGCUAGCGUUGUCCGGAAUCACUUGGCGUAAAGGGUCCGCAGGCGGAAAUGCAAGUCAGGUGUAAAAGGCAGUAGCUUAACUACUGUAAGCAUUUGAAACUGCAUAUCUUGAGAAGAGUAGAGGUAAGUGGAAUUUUUAGUGUAGCGGUGAAAUGCGUAGAUAUUAAAAAGAAUACCGGUGGCGAAGGCGGCUUACUGGGCUCAUUCUGACGCUGAGGAACGAAAGCGUGGGUAGCAAACAGG